CCUACGGGAGGCUGCAGUGGGGAAUAUUGGACAAUGGGGGGAACCCUGAUCCAGCCAUGCCGCGUGUGUGAAGAAGGCCUUUUGGUUGUAAAGCACUUUAAGUGGGGAGGAGGCUUACCUGGUUAAUACCUGGGCUAAGUGGACGUUACCCACAGAAUAAGCACCGGCUAACUCUGUGCCAGCAGCCGCGGUAAUACAGAGGGUGCGAGCGUUAAUCGGAUUUACUGGGCGUAAAGCGCGCGUAGGUGGUUAAUUAAGUCAAAUGUGAAAUCCCCGAGCUUAACUUGGGAAUUGCAUUCGAUACUGGUUAGCUAGAGUAUGGGAGAGGAUGGUAGAAUUCCAGGUGUAGCGGUGAAAUGCGUAGAGAUCUGGAGGAAUACCGAUGGCGAAGGCAGCCAUCUGGCCUAAUACUGACACUGAGGUGCGAAAGCAUGGGGAGCAAACAGGAUUAGAUACCCCUGUAGUC
rnacentral:rRNA from 1 species